rnacentral:tRNA from 1 species
GCUAACGUAGCUUAAUUAAAGCAUAACGCUGAAGAUGUUAAGAUGAGCCCUAGAAAGCUCCGUAAGCA